UGCCUAUUAGCUCAAUUGGUAGAGCCUUGUGCAACUGCACAAUGAUGUAGGUUCGAAUCCUACAUAGGCAA
rnacentral:tRNA from 1 species